GGAAAGAUCAACUUGAACAUUCUUUGUAUGAUGACUCUAUGUGUAGACCCUAGACUUUUUGAAUUUUUGUAGGAGUCUUGAAAACAAAAUGUUCUGCUUUUGUUUAUUAGCAUUUCAUUAUACUUAGAUUUCAAAAUGUUUACCAUAAGAAAUAUUAUGGAAAUGAUAUGUUUAUUGUACCAGUGAAAAACUCAAGUUACUCACUGUAGAAACUAAGAUGCUCACUAAGAUCUAG